rnacentral:rRNA from 1 species
AGCAUAUAAGUAAGCGGAGGAUAAGAAACUAAAUAGGAUUCCUUUAGUAAUGGCGAAUGAACAGGGAUGAGCUCAACAUGGAAAUCGUGGCUUCUGGCUUCGAAUUGUAAUCUCAAGAUGUAUUGCUAAUGGGGGCGUAGAUGUAAGCCGCUUGGAAAAGCGAAUCAUCGAGGGUGAGAAUCCUGUUUGUCAUCUGCAGACCUCUGUGUACGGCAUACUUUCUAAGAGUCACGUUCCUCGGGAUUGGAGCGCAAAUUGGGUGGUAAAUUUCAUCUCAAGCUAAAUAUGGGUUCGAAACCGAUAGCAAACAAGUACCAUGAGGGAAAGAUGAAAAGGACUUUGAAAAGAGAGUUAAAAGUGCCUGAACUCGCUGAAAGGAAAGCGGAUGGAACCAGUGUUGCUUGAUGAGAUUGUUGUAUGCUAUGGUGAUUGCUUGUCGCAUUAACGCAAGUGGUGUUGCGAGUUUUGAUCCGGAUGCAUGCGAUGCUUCUUGCCUUGUGUGUCACCGUCGGUUUGGAGGCGAGGACAACUCUUGGGACAUGGUAGCUCGAUCCUGGUUGAGUGAAUGUGCCUUGUAGAACUCAUUUUUAAACCGCAAAUUUAUUGUGAGGUUGUGAUGCCUUGAUGAACAUCCGUUUUGCUUGCAAAUCUGGUGUACAAGUGAGGCACCUUCCUGACAUGUUCAUGGUGACUAAAUGGUUUUAUUCGACCCGUCUUGAA